rnacentral:rRNA from 1 species
AGGGCUUACGGAGGAUACCUUGGCAUUCAGAGGCGAAGAAGGACGCGGUUACCGGCGAAACGCUUCGGGGAGCUGGAAACAAGCUAUGAUCCGGAGAUUUCCGAAUGAGGCAACUCCUAGAACUACUUAUUGAAUUCAUAAAUAAGUAAGAGCGAACCUGGUGAAUUGAAACAUCUUAGUAACCAGAGGAAGAGAAAGUAAAAACGAUUUCCUGAGUAGCGGCGAGCGAAACGGAAACAGCCUAAACCCUUUUAAUUAAAAAGGGGGUUGUGGAACAACAUCAAAAAAUAAAUAAGGUUAGAAGAAGUAGUUGGAAUGCUACACCAAAGAAAGUGAAAGUCUUGUAGUCGAAAACCUUUAAAAAAUAGUUGUAUCCAGAGUAGCAUGGGGCACGUGAAAUCCCGUGUGAAUCCGCGAGGACCACCUCGUAAGGCUAAAUACUACUGAAUGACCGAUAGUGAAACAGUACCGUGAGGGAAAGGUGAAAAGAACCCCGGGAGGGGAGUGAAAUAGAACAUGAAACCGUAAGCUUACAAGCAGUAGAAGGACGACUAUUAACGUUUGCCUGCGUGCCUGUUGAAGAAUGAGCCGGCGACUUGUAGUUAGUGGCAGGUUAAGGUAUGUCAUACCGGAGCCAUAGUGAAAGCGAGCCUUAAUAGGGCGUUUGUCACUAAUUACGGACCCGAACCCGGGUGAUCUAUCCAUGGCCAGGAUGAAGCUUAGGUAACACUAAGUGGAGGUCCGAACCGACUGAUGUUGAAAAAUCAGCGGAUGAGUUGUGGAUAGGGGUGAAAUGCCAAUCGAACUCGGAGCUAGCUGGUUCUCCCCGAAAUGUGUUUAGGCGCAGCGGUUAGUGUUAUAGCUUAGGGGUAAAGCACUGUUUCGGUGCGGGCAGGUAAUUCGGUACCAAAUCGAGGCAAACUCUGAAUACUAAGUGCAUAACUAACCAGUAAGACUGUGGGGGAUAAGCUCCAUUGUCAAGAGGGAAACAGCCCAGACCACCAGUUAAGGCCCCUAAAUGAUUACUAAGUGAUAAAGGAAGUGGGAAGACUUAGACAACCAGGAGGUUUGCUUAGAAGCAGCAAUCCUUUAAAGAGUGCGUAAUAGCUCACUGGUCGAGUAGUCCUGCGCCGAAAAUGAACGGGGCUAAGUAAUCUGCCGAAACUGUGGGAUAUUUAUAUAUCGGUAGGGGAGCGUUCUAUGGUAGGUUGAAGCGUUAACGUAAGUGGGCGUGGACGAUAUAGAAGUGAGAAUGUCGGCUUGAGUAGCGAAAACAUUGGUGAGAAUCCAAUGCCCCGAAAACCUAAGGUUUCCUCCGGAAGGCUCGUCCGCGGAGGGUAAGUCAGGACCUAAGGCGAGGCUGAAAAGCGUAGUCGAUGGACAAUCGGUUAAUAUUCCUAUACCAUUUUUUGUUGACAACGAGGGACGAAGGUUGCUAAGCUAGCCAAAUGUUGGUUAUUGGUUCAAACGUUCAAGGUGUUGAGAGAUAGAGAAAAUAUCUUGAGCUGAGGCGUGAGUACAAGAUACUACGGUAUUAAAGUAGCUGAUGUUAUACUUCCAAGAAAAGCUCGCACUGUCUUAAACAAAAAAUGCCUGUACUAGAAACCGACACAGGUGGGUUGGUAGAGUAUACCAAGGGGCGCGAGAUAACCCUCUCUAAGGAACUCGGCAAAAUAACCCCGUAACUUCGGGAGAAGGGGUACCUUUUUAAGGUUGCAAUAACAAGGUCCAAGCGACUGUUUACCAAAAACACAGGUCUCCGCUAAGUCGUAAGACGACGUAUGGGGGCUGACGCCUGCCCAGUGCCGGAAGGUUAAAGAAGUUGGUUAGCUGUAAAGCGAAGCUGAUAACCGAAGCCCCGGUGAACGGCGGCCGUAACUAUAACGGUCCUAAGGUAGCGAAAUUCCUUGUCGGGUAAGUUCCGACCCGCACGAAAGGCGUAACGAUUUGGACACUGUCUCGGAGAGGGACUCGGUGAAAUAGACUUGUCUGUGAAGAUGCGGACUACCUGCACCUGGACAGAAAGACCCUAUGAAGCUUUACUGUAACUUGAGACUGAUUUCGGGCUUUAUUUGCGCAGCAUAGGUGGGAGGCUUUGAAGCAAAACUUACGGGAUUUGUGGAGCCGUCGGUGAGAUACCACUCUGAUAAAGCUAGAACUCUAACCUUACACCGUAAGCCGGUGAAGGAACAAUCUCAGGCGGGCAGUUUGACUGGGGCGGUCGCCUCCUAAAAAGUAACGGAGGCGCACAAAGGUUUCCUCAGAUCGGUCAGACAUCGAUCUUCGAGUGUAAAGGCAUAAGGAAGCUUGACUGUGAGACCUACAAGUCGAACAGAGACGAAAGUCGGUCUUAGUGAUCUGGCGAUAUUGAGUGGAAAAGUCGUCACUCAACGGAUAAAAGUUACUCUAGGGAUAACAGGCUGAUCUCCCCCAAGAGUUCACAUCGACGGGGAGGUUUGGCACCUCGAUGUCGGCUCAUCGCAUCCUGGGGCU